rnacentral:misc_RNA from 1 species
CGCUUGUCCACGCUAGGGAUUACGAUAGCCGCACUUCUCUCCAUGUUGCCUCACUCCAUGGGUGGAUCGACGUUGCCAAGUGUUUGAUCGAGUUUGGCGCUGAUGUCAACGCCCAGGAUCGAUGGAAGAAUACGCCUUUGGCCGAUGCAGAAGGAGCAAAAAAGCACGCCAUGAUUGAGCUUUUAAAAUCAUAUGGUGGUUUGUCCUAUGGCCAAAAUGGAAGCCAUUUUGAACCAAAGCCUGUUCCACCACCCCUACCAAACAAGUGUGACUGGGAAAUUGACCCAUCUGAGCUUGAUUUUUCAAAUUCAGCAAUUAUUGGAAAGGGAUCAUUUGGGGAGAUUUUGAAAGCCUAUUGGCG